ACAAAUGGCCUCAUGUCCGGCAGGGUGGUGUAAUUCAUUCUCCCCGUGAAAACUAUUUCCUCCUCACGGUUAACUCGAUCCAGAGGCUGCGCCCAUCUCUCCCACGUCAACAGUCCUGUGUCCUUGGCGGAGGACAGUGCUCUCAUUCUGGGCCUUUCCCUUGUUCCUCGGCCAAACCCCUGCUUCUGCACCUCCCUGCAGCUAGUCAAGCUCCCGAUGCCGGGAAAGCCCCGCCCGCUGUCACUCACAGGGAUGAGUGAAAGCUGAUGAGGCCACACUUGUCCUAAUCCACAGCUCUCCUUGCCUCCUCCAUUCCCAUUUCCCCAGAGCAGCUACCUCUGUCCCAGGCCUCAGGGCUGUCCCUGGGCUGAAGUGGAAUCCAGCCACAACCACCUUCCAAAGCCAACAGUCACCGUGAACCUGCAGAAAGGCAAGAGCUGGGCACAUCCUGACAUAGAGUAAAGAAAGUCUCCCAGUGAAAAGACAGGAAGGCAGUAUUUGGGGAGCCCUGUGCUGAGUGGAGGUGGGUGGGGAUAUUUCCUUGGCUUCCAGAGCCUCUUGUCUGAUGGGAUCAGCCGCUCCAGCAGUAGCCACCUGGCCCAGCUUUGGGAGAUGUGGAGAUUGAAUUUCACAGUGAUUUCCACUGGGCCAUGGCACCGAGACAGCUGCAGGAGGGCACACAGCUGGCGCUGCCCCACCCCUUGCAGAGCUGCUCUGGAGGAAUGCCACCCUCCCCAUGGGAAGCGAGAGGGUCCUACUUGCUGUGGUUCCAUGGGAAGGGACCUCUACGCUAAACCCUCAUUUUGAGGGCACGAGCUGGCCUUCAUUAGAGUAAAAUCCCAACAUCACUUAUUCCAGUAGCUCCCCAACCUGGAUAAACAUCAGGAUCACUCGGGAUGUUUAUUUUUAAAAUGAAGAUUAAUAAAAAUAAUGAUUUUGUGAACCCA